GCUUUUCUGAUGGAUCAUGGCUCAGUAACACUAAUAUGAUAAUUAAUUUAUAUUAGAUGUGAAAGCUGUGAGUAGAGUGACUUCAAUUAUGGAGAAGCUCCUAUAGAAAAGGAUGUGUCUUGGGGGAUAAAUAAACCCUUGACUUGAAAUAUAAUGACAAAUCUGACCUCAAAUCAGGUAGGACUACCCGCUGAACUUAA
rnacentral:misc_RNA from 1 species